UGCACAAUCUUUCAAAUCCCGCGGUCAUCGAAAAUAGUUAACGAUGAGCAGAUAAGGCAAAAGACAACCUCUGGAUCAUAGACAAUCUGAUCAAAGAUAUCGGAGCAUUGCACCCAAUACGAUGAAGAUGACUCCCUAUGUUCCCAUCUCAUUGUAGCUACCAACAUCUAUCCAUAAAUACCAGCUCAUAAGAGACCCUA
rnacentral:lncRNA from 1 species